rnacentral:lncRNA from 1 species
GCCAGCCAAUCGGGAACCCCGAUGAGCGUCUGUUGGCUGCCACUCACCUGUCAACCGUCAAUCAACAGCGUGUGGCCACGGGUCCCCAACUGUCAGUCAUCCUGUGGGUCCGUAGGCAGAGCGCUGCAUCCCUGCAUUCAUUCGUAUGGAGCCAGCAGCGCUGGGCCCUGCGUUCCCGACGCCUUACACUGAAGCCAGAGAAGUCAGAGAAACCUGGAGGCACCGCCCCAUCCUCAGCCAACCACCUGGGAGCCAGCACGGGGCAGAAGGAAGAGUGUGAGAUUUGUUUGGCUAUCUGUAUUUCCGAAGCCUAAUAAAACUUGCAAACACUUUGACCUAGAAAUUCCAUCGCUAAGAAUUUACCCUAAAGGAACCAUCAAGGAUUAUGCAUAAAGGUUUAGCUAUAAGGAUAUUCACUGAAGGAUUAUGACGUCAAGGAUUUAUGACAGUAGGGGAAAAAAAUGGAAACAGCCCUCAGAAAUGGACUGACUAAAUGAAUUAGGCUGCAUUCACACAAAACACUGUAUGCAUUCCUCAUGCAGUUUUAAAAAAGUUAUUUGAAGAAAGAAAGAGAAGAGCAAACGAAAGGGAUGUCUAGUGUCAGGUGGAGCUUGGUUCAAAUUCUUGCUGUACUCCUUAUGAGCGGUGUGACCAUCAUCUACUUAAUUAACUUCUCUGGGCCACUUGUUUCCUGGUCUGUAAAAUGGUCAUACUAUAGGGGCCGGCCUCAUGGCUGAGUGGUUAAGUUUGCGUGCUCCGCUUCGGCAGGCUGGUGUUUCGUGGGUUUGGAUCCUGGGCGCAGACAUGGCACGGCUCAUCAGGCCAUGCUGAGGCGGCACCCCACAUCCACAACUAGAAGGACUCACAACUAAAAAUACACAACUAUGUACCAGGGGACUUUGGGGAGAAAAAGGAAAAAUAAAAUCUUAAAAAAAAAUGGGUAUACUAUCAAAUAUGUUGUGUUAAUCAGGAUGGCUUACUGCUGUGACAAAUAACCACAAAAUCUCACUGGCUUAAUGCAACAAAGGUGUAUUUCUCUCUCAUGCCAUGUCUGAUGCAGAUGUUCCUGGGCAGGUGUCUUCCAACUGAUGGACUCGAGGAUUGGGUCCCUUUUCAUCACAAGCCUCCAUCCUCUUAAACUUCUUUGCUCCCUUCCACGAGGACAGGAGAGAGAGCAUAAUAGAUUG